CACUUGCACAUGGGUUAGU
rnacentral:snRNA from 1 species